rnacentral:rRNA from 1 species
AGAACGAACGCUGGCGGCAUGCCUAAUACAUGCAAGUCGAACGAACACUUCGGUGUUAGUGGCGCACGGGUGCGUAACGCGUGGGAAUCUGCCCUUGGGUUCGGAAUAACAGUUGGAAACGACUGCUAAUACCGGAUGAUAUCGAAAGAUCAAAGAUUUAUCGCCCAGGGAUGAGCCCGCGUAGGAUUAGCUAGUUGGUGAGGUAAAGGCUCACCAAGGCGACGAUCCUUAGCUGGUCUGAGAGGAUGAUCAGCCACACUGGGACUGAGACACGG